rnacentral:rRNA from 1 species
CGGGGGGCAGCAGUGAGGAAUAUUUUGCAAUGGACGAAAGUCUGACAAAGCAAUACCGCGUGGGGGAUGAAGGCCUAUGGGUUGUAAACCUCUUUUUCCAAGGAGGAAGAUAUGACGUUACUUGGAGAAUAAGCAUCGGCUAACCCUGUGCCAGCAGCCGCGGUAAUACAGGGGAUGCAAGUGUUAUCCGGAAUCAUUGGGCGUAAAGCGUCUGCAGGUUGAUAUAACAGUCUUUUGUUAAACCUCUAGGCUUAACCUGGAAUCUGCAAAAGAAACUAUUUAUCUUGAGUAUGGUAGAGGGAGAGGGAAUUUCCAGUGGAGCGGUGAAAUGCGUAGAUAUUGGAAGGAACACCAACAGCGAAGGCACUCUCCUGGGCCAUUACUGACACUCAGAGACGAAAGCUAAGGGAGCAAACAGGAUUAGAUACCCCCGU